rfam:Homo sapiens chromosome 12, GRCh38 reference primary assembly.
GCCAGGCGUGGUGGCGCGUGCCUGUAAUCCCAGCUACUCGGGAGGCUAAGGCAGGAGAAUUGCUUGAAUCCAGGAGCCAGAGGUUGCAGUGAGCCGAGAUCACAACACUGCACUCCAGCCUGGAUGACAGAGUGAGAACCUAUCUUAA